rnacentral:rRNA from 1 species
CGUGUAGGCGGUCAGAUAAGUCUGGUGUGAAAGCCCUUGGCUUAACCAAGGAAUGUCGCUGGAAACUGUCUGGCUUGAGUACGAGAGAGGGGAGUGGAAUUCCCGGUGUAGAGGUGAAAUUCGUAGAUAUCGGGAGGAACACCAGUGGCGAAGGCGGCUCUCUGGAUCGAUACUGACGCUGAUACGCGAAAGCGUGGGGAGCAAACAGGAUUAGAUACCCUGGUAGUCCACGCUGUAAACGUUGGGCACUAGGUGUAGGAGGUAUUGACCCCUUCUGUGCCGAAGCUAACGCAUUAAGUGUCCCGCCUGGGGACUACGGCCGCAAGGUUAAA